rnacentral:lncRNA from 1 species
UAAAUGCUGUAAAAAAAACAGACUUUCGACCACAUAAAUAGGAUUGAAAGUAUAGUGCGUGCUUAUCUCAUCAGAAUUUCCAGACAUAGAUUUCUAUUGUUACUUACAGAGAGAGCGUUUCUUUCUUCCAGAAACAAGCUCAACGUUUACCGAUUCAACGCGCGAGAAGGAGUUUAGACCCGAAACUGUGCCACUUUUUUGAAACCCGGCAAGCUUAAGUGGAUUGAGUCAAGCGUGUAAUCUGUAAUUGUCUUAGGGGCGGAAAUAAUGGAAGAGGCAAAAUUAGUUUUGUGACGACACUGCAUGACGUAGAACUUGACAAAGUGAUUGAUAUCUCAGCUUACGUUAAUCCUGUUUGAAAGAUGUGCAUUAACGAUUUUAGUUGCAUUAAAGAAAAGCUCUUACUGUAAGUGGCUUUCGCUCAUAGCAUUAGAUAUAUUCGGCGCAAAUCAGUCCUGUUGGCGAAUAGAUAACAGAUAAAUUGGGACCUAUAUAUUGGAACCGCUGUGUGAAUUUCAAUAUUUAAGCACUCCUUUUCAAAGAACAAAGAGGUCAUGUCUCUCUACGAGCGCGCACGACACUAUCGUUCCCACUCCCUCAAACCUCUCAAUCAACCAAGUUUACUUACCCAGCGUUCCAAGCGCACACUCAGCCUGCCAAGCA